rnacentral:rRNA from 1 species
GACGAACGCUGGCGGCGUGCUUAACACAUGCAAGUCGAACGAUGAAGCCGGAGCUUGCUCUGGUGAAUUAGUGGCGAACGGGUGAGUAACACGUGAGUAACCUGCCCUUGACUCUGGGAUAACUGCGGGAAACUGUAGCUAAUACCGGAUACGACCCUCGGAGGCAUCUCCUGGGGGUGGAAAGAAUUUCGGUCAAGGAUGGACUCGCGGCCUAUCAGCUAGUUGGGGAGGUAAAGGCUCACCAAGGCGACGACGGGUAGCCGGCCUGAGAGGGUGACCGGCCACACUGGGACUGAGACACGGCCCAGACUCCUACGGGAGGCAGCAGUGGGGAAUAUUGCACAAUGGGCGCAAGCCUGAUGCAGCACCGCCGCGUGAGGGAUGACGGCCUUCGGGUUGUAAACCUAUUUUAGCAGGGAAGAAGCGAAAGUGACGGUACCUGCAGAAAAAGCUCCGGCUAACUACGUGCCAGCCGCCGCAGUAA